UACGUAGGGGGCGUGCGUUGUCCGGAAUCAUUGGGCGUAAAGAGCUCGUAGGCGGCUGAGUAAGUCAGGUGUGAAACCCCCAGGCUCAACCUGGGGCCGCCACCUGAUACUGCUCUAGCUUGAGUCCGGUAGGGGACCACGGAAUUCCUGGUGUAGCGGUGAAAUGCGCAGAUAUCAGGAGGAACACCGGUGGCGAAGGCGGUGGUCUGGGCCGGCACUGACGCUGAGGAGCGAAAGCGUGGGGAGCGAACAGG
rnacentral:rRNA from 1 species